rnacentral:rRNA from 1 species
UCGUGGAUUGAUUUGUCUGGUUAAUUCCGAUAACGAACGAGACCUUAACCUACUAGUUGGCUGCGCUUGGAUUUAUUCCAGGUUUAUUUUUUGCAGUCUCUUAGCGGGACAGCUGGCUUUUAGCCAGAGGAAGUUUGAGGCAAUAACA